GGCAAAUUACCUUCCUCCUCCCAUCAGCUCCCCGCUUCCCCAAAAAGAGCUCCUCAUCCAAACAUCACACUACUUACUUACUUACUUACUCUCACUCACUCACUCACUCACUCUCACUCACUCACUCACUCACUCACUCACUCACUCACUCACUCACUCACUCACUCUCACUCACUCACUCACUCACUCUCUCUCUCUCUCUCUCUCUCUCUCUCUCUCUCUCUCUCUCUCUCUCUCUCUCUCUCUCUCUCUCUCUCUCUCUCUCUCUCACACAGCCACUGUCUGUCCAGAAUUAAGAAGCACUUUUCAGAGGUGACAGUGACACUGCUGCUACAUUGACACGUCUUCAAAUCACAGCGCCCGCUUGGCACAAAAUGCUGAAUUAAACCAAUAAGAUACAAUGCAGCAACCAUUAUUUCAACAAAUCGAUAUCUUGUCAAAAUUCAACACUUCCUUUUAGUCUUCUCUGCACCAGAUUGAUAGUGCCGUCUCUUCAUUUUCAAACAUUAACGCACACAACUGACACAAGCAAUUAAAUUUAUCAAAGUUAUUGUUACCAAACGUUACUGUCUGAACCCAUGGCAUGAGGCCCUCUGGUGGCCAUGUGGCCCGAUGUAUCCACUUAUGUCGGUUAUUAGGUAGGGCUGGCCCUGGGUGUUACCAUAGGGUUCUUUGUGAUCUCCCAUGAUAUUUUUCCCAGUGCCCCUGGAGUGAUUUUCAUUGAACAACCACUUUUUGGGAGAGUAACAGCAGUGCUGACUUCCCUCCAUCUGCCUCAACUUUAAAGAACUUUCAAAUUUAUACUUAAAAUCAAAUAACAUGCUGUAAGACUACAAAAUAUUUAACUUUUCAAGAUGAAUGAGAGAAAAAUAUUAGCAGAUUGUUCAACUUAAUUUUCCAUAGUAAUGAGCAACUUAGGACUGUUUCCAUUAGGAAAAAAAUAUUUGGCUUCUGUUUAUUAACAUGUCUCAGUAAAAAACAAAAAGCAUUAACAAGCAAGGGUCUAUGGGAUGAACUGUGAAGAUGCAGCAUUCAGAUAAAACCUGAGGUGUGAGAUGUAGGGCAGACACUGAAGGAAACUCCUCACUUCACUCUCUUCAUCUGAGCAGUGUCUCAGCACCACUGGUUUCUUCUCUGUUUGGAGUUUCAGCACUUCUAGGAGGAGGGAGACUUUUCUCUCUGAGAGCUUUAUGUACCAGACUGCAGGAACUGACUGGUAAACUGGCAGCAAUGCUGGAAGGACUCUCCUGCCUGUUUCACUCUCAUACUGCUUCACACGUGAGUACAGAUCCAGCAGGAAAUCACUCAGUAUGUCAUAAUAAUAAUAAUAGUCUCCAUAUUCAGUGAAUGUGAUCACUUUCUGCACUGUCUGCAGGAUGUUAUGUGGUUGGUGUAGAGCUGCUUGCAGACACAAAUCCAGUAGAAAUGUUCUACAUCUCUUUUCUUGUUCCAUCUCUCCCUGUAUAUAGUAAAACCUGGAGAAAAGUGAAAGACUCACAUUAUUACAGUACACAAUAUAGAGAACAUCAGACACACACACACACACACACACACACACACUUUCUCCUGGACUCAUGUAUUUGAUAAAAAUUUUUUUAUAUAUAUUUACAUUUAUGGCAUUUGACAGAUGUGCACAGAGACGCACAGAAGUGUUCUGUAGUCUCUGUCUUAAAGCCUCUGAAAUGUUAGAAACUGUAACUGUGACGAGUCACUAAAGUAUAUUUUCUCGUUGAGUAAAAAUAUUAAGGAGCUGUUACGAGAACACAGAGGGUGUCUUAGGGACACUAAAAGAAAGCCUACAGUACUUGGCUAGUAGUAAUGUUUAUGCUCCAUCAUGUGUUUUCUUCCUGAUAUUGAAGGAAACACAGAUAUUUACUCAAUGAUAGACAAUCAUCUCUGUAUCAUUACUGCAUAAAUAUCAUAUAUUGUGAGCAGGGCCGUUAUCUGGACUGGUCAUCAUCCGGGGUUGAGCCCAGAGUCCUAAUAGACUUCUGAAUAGACUGUUUGCAUCCAUUUCAGGACACAGAACUUACUCAUAGGGGUGUAACGAUGCAUCGUGAUGCGAAAAUGUGACGAUGUGUAUCGCUGAAAUGUUCAAAUCACAUCAUGG
ensembl:lncRNA